rnacentral:rRNA from 1 species
GGCUCAGGAUGAACGCUAGCUACAGGCUUAACACAUGCAAGUCGAGGGGCAGCAUGACGAUAGCUUGCUAUUGUCGAUGGCGACCGGCGCACGGGUGAGUAACGCGUAUCCAACCUUCCCAUAGCUAGGGAAUAACCUUGCGAAAGUAAGACUAAUGUCCUAUGUUGUUCUUUGCAGACAUCUAAAGAGAACGAAAGAUUUAUCGGCUAUGGAUGGGGAUGCGUCUGAUUAGGUUGUUGGCGGGGUAACGGCCCACCGUGGCAUCGAUCGGUAGGGGUUCUGAGAGGAAGGUCCCCCACAUUGGAACUGAGACACGGUCCAAACUCCUACGGGAGGCAGCAGUGAGGAAUAUUGGUCAAUGGGCGGAAGCCUGAACCAGCCAAGUAGCGUGAAGGAUGACUGCCCUAUGGGUUGUAAACUUCUUUUAUGCGGGGAUAAAGUUCGCCACGUGUGGCGUUUUGCAGGUACCGCAUGAAUAAGGACCGGCUAAUUCCGUG